CCUGCAAGUCGAGCGGUAGCACAGAGAGCUUGCUCUCGGGUGACGAGCGGCGGACGGGUGAGUAAUGUCUGGGAAACUGCCUGAUGGAGGGGGAUAACUACUGGAAACGGUAGCUAAUACCGCAUAAUGUCGCAAGACCAAAGUGGGGGACCUUCGGGCCUCAUGCCAUCAGAUGUGCCCAGAUGGGAUUAGCUAGUAGGUGGGGUAACGGCUCACCUAGGCGACGAUCCCUAGCUGGUCUGAGAGGAUGACCAGCCACACUGGAACUGAGACACGGUCCAGACUCCUACGGGAGGCAGCAGUGGGGAAUAUUGCACAAUGGGCGCAAGCCUGAUGCAGCCAUGCCGCGUGUGUGAAGAAGGCCUUCGGGUUGUAAAGCACUUUCAGCGGGGAGGAAGGCGUUAAGGUUAAUAACCUUGGCGAUUGACGUUACCCGCAGAAGAAGCACCGGCUAACUCCGUGCCAGCAGCCGCGGUAAUACGGAGGGUGCAAGCGUUAAUCGGAAUUACUGGGCGUAAAGCGCACGCAGGCGGUCUGUCAAGUCGGAUGUGAAAUCCCCGGGCUCAACCUGGGAACUGCAUUCGAAACUGGCAGGCUAGAGUCUUGUAGAGGGGGGUAGAAUUCCAGGUGUAGCGGUGAAAUGCGUAGAGAUCUGGAGGAAUACCGGUGGCGAAGGCGGCCCCCUGGACAAAGACUGACGCUCAGGUGCGAAAGCGUGGGGAGCAAACAGGAUUAGAUACCCUGGUAGUCCACGCCGUAAACGAUGUCGAUUUGGAGGUUGUGCCCUUGAGGCGUGGCUUCCGGAGCUAACGCGUUAAAUCGACCGCCUGGGGAGUACGGCCGCAAGGUUAAAACUCAAAUGAAUUGACGGGGGCCCGCACAAGCGGUGGAGCAUGUGGUUUAAUUCGAUGCAACGCGAAGAACCUUACCUGGUCUUGACAUCCACAGAACUUUCCAGAGAUGGAUUGGUGCCUUCGGGAACUGUGAGACAGGUGCUGCAUGGCUGUCGUCAGCUCGUGUUGUGAAAUGUUGGGUUAAGUCCCGCAACGAGCGCAACCCUUAUCCUUUGUUGCCAGCGGUUAGGCCGGGAACUCAAAGGAGACUGCCAGUGAUAAACUGGAGGAAGGUGGGGAUGACGUCAAGUCAUCAUGGCCCUUACGACCAGGGCUACACACGUGCUACAAUGGCAUAUACAAAGAGAAGCGACCUCGCGAGAGCAAGCGGACCUCAUAAAGUAUGUCGUAGUCCGGAUUGGAGUCUGCAACUCGACUCCAUGAAGUCGGAAUCGCUAGUAAUCGUAGAUCAGAAUGCUACGGUGAAUACGUUCCCGGGCCUUGUACACACCGCCCGUCACACCAUGGGAGUGGGUUGCAAAAGAAGUAGGUAGCUUAACCUUCGGGAGGGCGCUA
rnacentral:rRNA from 1 species